UGUCUUGGUAAAAUGGAAUGAUGGGAAUUUAAACCUCUUCCAGAGUAUCAAUUGGAGGGCAAGUCUGGUGCCAGCAGCCGCGGUAAUUCCAGCUCCAAUAGCGUAUAUUAAAAUUGUUGCAGUUAAAAAGCUCGUAGUUGAAUUUCUGCUGCAUCGCGUCUUCUUUUUGAUGAGUUGGCGUAUUGCGGCUUUUUUCGGAUGAUUUUUUUGUCCGGAUGAUUACUUUGAGAAAAUUAGAGUGCUCAAAGCAGGCUUUUGCCUUGAAUAGUUUAGCAUGGAAUAAUAAAGUAGGACUUUGGUUCUAUUUUGUUGGUUUUAGGUACCAAAGUAAUGGUUAAUAGGAACAGUUGGGGGCAUUCGUAUUUAACUGUCAGAGGUGAAAUUCUUAGAUUUGUUAAAGACGAACUACUGCGAAAGCAUUUGCCAAGGAUGUUUUCAUUAAUCAAGAACGAAAGUUAGGGGAUCGAAGACGAUCAGAUACCGUCGUAGUCCUA
rnacentral:rRNA from 1 species